GAUGAAGAACGUAGCAAAAUGCGAUACUUGGUGUGAAUUGCAGAAUCCCGUGAACCAUCGAGUUUUUGAACGCAAGUUGCGCCCGAAGCCUUUUGGCCGAGGGCACGUCUGCCUGGGCGUCACGCAUCGCGUCGCCCCCCCACAAUUCUCCGUAAAGGGAACAUGUGUUUUGGGGGCGGAUAUUGGUCUCCCGUGCUCAUGGCGUGGUUGGCCGAAAUAGGAGUCCUUUCGAUGGACGCAUGAACUAGUGGUGGUCGUAAAAACCCUCGUCUUUUGUUUCGUGCUGUUGCUCGCAAGGUAAACUCUUUAAAAACCCCAAUGCGUCGUCUCUUGACGACGCUUCGACCGCGACCCCAGGUCAGGCGGGACUACCCGCUGAGUUUAAGCAUAUCAAUAAGCGGAGGA
rnacentral:misc_RNA from 1 species